AUUGCUCUCAGCCUUUUGGCUAAGAUCAAAUGUAGUGUCUGUUCUUAUCAAUUUAAAAUAGAUCACAACUUAUUUCAUGAACUAGAUUAGUUUCAAAGAUUGUGUAGCUUUG
ensembl:snRNA U2 U2 spliceosomal RNA